UUUUCUAAUUUGUCACACAGUAAACUUUUUAUAAUUAGGUGUACAGUUCUGUUAAUACAAAUUCACAUUAGAUUCACGUAAACCAUCACUACAAUCAGAUACAGAACAUCCAUCACCCCAAAAAUCUCUCUUGUGCAACCUCUUUAUAAGUCACACACAAAAACCUCUCACCACUAACCUCUGCCAACCACUGAUCUGUUCUCUAUCACUACAGAUUUGUCUUUUCAAGAAUGCAUACAAAUGGAAUCAUACAAUACAUAACCUUUUGAGGUUGGCUUCUUUUACUCAGCCUGAUGUCUUGAAAUUCAUCUAAGUGAUUGCAUGUAACAAUAGUUUGCUCCUUUUUUAUUGCAUUAUAUCCAUUUUAAAUAUAAACAAAAUGAGAUAUAAAUUUAUUCUUCUUAAAGUGUGUUACAGAUAUCUGCUAGUUUCAUAUUCUCCCAUGGUUAUCCCCUUUUCAUCUUUUGUGUAUGUCUUUUUAAAACCUAGAUAUUGUGGCCACAUUGGUUUAUUUUUGUUUUAAAGAUUUAUCUAUUUAUUUGAGAGAGACAGAGAGAGUACGAGCAGGGGAAGGGACAGAGAGAGAGGGAGAAAAGAAGACUCCCUACUGAGUAGGGAGACCAGGGAGGGCUGGAUCUCACAAUCCUGAGAUCAUGACCUGAGCGGAAACCAAGAGUCAGAUGUUCAAUCCAUUGAGCUAUUCAGGUGCCCCCAACAUUGGUUUAUUUAAAUGUUUCCCCUGUUUCUACCUUCCUGGAUAAAGUGUGAUUAUGAUGUUGGAAUAUUGCAUUUAGAACCUUCUCCCACUUAUCCCUCUUGAAUCAUCUUUCCUCUGGAUGCUAAGCAUUUAGAUAUAGCAACAUGUCAGAGUUAUAGGCCAGCUUUUAUCAAAAUUCCUUGAAAAUGGAAUAUAAAAAAUUAUCUGGGGAUCAUGUAGACAGAGGGGAACCAGCAUUAGUAAAAGCAUCUGGGAACCCAAAUAUAUUUAUUUGUUUAUUUUAUAAAUGUUGCUUAUUUAGGGAAUUCUUUUUAUUACAAUCACAAAUAAUUUAAGUAUAAACAAAUUAAACAUUAAUUAGAACCACCUUUAAAAUCAUAAAAUUAGAACUUACUGAAGGGAACUGCCUAUUCAUACCACUAUGAACCUGACCCCAUCCUGCCCUAAAGCUCAGAGCAAUGCUUUGAGAGGAGGCAGUUCUCAAACAUGGUUGAAUAAAUGACCUAUUACCUAUCUCUCAGGGACAUUGCUUUCCUUAAUGCUCCAGUGGCUCCUUGUGUUUCCAUUAUCAUAAAAGAGCAGAUUUUUACUCCCAAUAACAUAACCAACAGAUGUCUCCCUAAUCCUAAGGCAACUAGAAUGGUGGCAGUUUGUGGUAUUUUCUCAUCCCUUAUGGUACAUCGGAAAUAUCUGCGCAACCACCUGUGUUCUUCCCCUUUGCCCAUGCAAUUAAAGCUGUUUCAUACUAGAGCCAAAUUAAACAAUAAAAGGGCUCUAGGAAUCAGAAGAUUGUCUCAUAAAUUCCAUCCUUCAAAAUGAAAAAGAGGUGAACUUUAAGAAAUAAAAAGAGUAUAAUUUAUUUGGAUUCUUAAACUCUGUAUCCUUUGUUACAAAUUAACUUGUGUUAUUAAAAUUUUUCUACUGAUACUUACAUGAAAGAAAUAUCUACAAGCUAUUACUGCACAUUCUACCAAAAAUAUAUCUUCUGACUCUAUGUAGUCUUAAGCUGUUUCUCUUGAGCUUGCUAUGAAACCACCCAUCUCACUGGCCAUGAUACAUUCCUGGAAUCCUUUGUGCUGAUUUCUGUAUUAGAAUCACAAGCAUGGCUUCCCAAAAGCAUGUUGAUAUAUAUGGGUAGAUGGUUGGAGACAACCCUGUUACCAGAGCAGAGUGCUUGCCACAGGAAGACUACCAUUGGAUACAACUGUCCAGCAAAGUAUAUCAAUAUCCUGGUGGAAUCAUUAGAGCUCCUCCAAGGGAAAGAGUGGGUUGAGAGGGACCCAAGUCAAAGCAGCCAAAAGGAUGCACAUUGGGUUAAAACUGGGUUUCUCUUUAUUAUAUUCUCAGACCAGUGUGUAACAGAAAAAAAGCUAUCCUAAAGUACUUGACUAACCCUCAGUACACAGUACCUAUACUAUGGGUUAUCAAUUAGAUAGUUAUCUGUUAGAUAUUAUACACGUUAGCUAUCAUCUCCUCUUACAGUUUCCUCACUACCCCUUCUAGACAAAUUCAUCAUAAAAUAUUACUGUCCCUUGUGUGUGUAUCAUGGGAUGGGAUCAUUUAAACUGGAAGAUUUGAAAUCUAAAGUUGCAACAUACUAGAACGUCUCAGUUGCAAAAGAUGUUACAAUAAUUCAUUACAUGUCAAAGACUCAAAAUUUGGGAAAUGAUCCACUUUAAAAAUUAGAUCACAUUCCAGGUUAUUCAUUUAAUAACACCAUUCUCACACUUACUAAGUUACAUGGGUAAUAUUUGUCCCUUUUCCUUCAUCAGGAAAGUGCCUCUGACAUAGGUGUUCAUCAAAUAGUUGAUAAAUAAUAUAUCCCAC
rnacentral:lncRNA from 1 species